AACAUCGGGAAACCGGUGCUAAUACCGCAUAACACAUUGAAAUGGAAUCAUUAUGAUGUCAAAGGAGGAAUCCGGUAUAAGAUGGGCCCGCGUCCAAUUAGCUAGUUGGUGAGGUAACGUGCUCACCAACGCGACGAUUGGUAGCCGAACUGAGAGGUUGAUCGGCCACAUUUGUGACUGAGACACGGCCCAGACUCCUACGGGAGGCAGCAGUGGGGAAUAUUGCACAAUGGGGGAAACCCUGAUGCAGCAACGCCGCGUGAAGGAUGAAGGUCUUCGGAUUGUGAACUUCUUUGAUUGGGGAAGAAGAAGUGACGGUACCCAAAAGACAAGCCACGGCUAACUACGUGCCAGCAGCCGCGGUAAUACGUACGUGGCAAGCGUUGUCCGGAAUUACUGGGUGUAAACGGCGUGUAGGCGGGGAUGCAAGUCAGGUGUGACAGCCCAUGGCUCAACUGUGGGACUGCAUCUGAAACUGAAUCUCUUGAGUACUGGAGAGGGAAGUGCACUUCCUAGUGUAGCGGUGAAAUUGCGUAGAGAUUAGGAGGAACACCAGUGGCGAAGGCGGCUUCCUGGACAGUAGCUGACGCUGAGGCGCGAAAGCGUGGGGAGCGAACAGGAUUAGAUACCCUGGUAGUCCACGCCGUAAACGAUGCUCACUCGCUGUUGGCGAUAUAUUGUCAGCAGUUAAGCUAAAGCAUUAAGUGAGCCACCUGGGAAGUACGUCCGCAAGGAUGAAACUCAAAGGAAUUGACGGGGGCCCGCACAACCGGUGGAACAUGUGGUUCAAUUCGAUGAUACGCGAGGAACCUUACCUGGGCUUAAAUGUAGUUUGACUUCCGCCGAAAGGCGGUUUUCCUUCGGGACAAAUUACAAGGUGCUGCACGGCUGUCGUCAGCUCGUGCCGUGAGGUAUCGGGUUAAGUCCCUUAACGAGCGCAACCCCUAUUGUUAGUUACCAACAGGUUAAGCUGGGGACUCUAGCAAAACUGCCAGCGUAAGCUGGAGGAAGGUGGGGAUGACGUCAAGUCAGCAUGGCCCUUAUGUCCAGGGCUGAACACGUGUUACAAUGGCCGAUACAAAGGGCAGCCACCACGCGAGUGGGAGCUAAUCCUUAAAAUCGGUCUCAGUUCGGAUCGAAGUUUGCAAUUCGACUUCGUGAAGCUGGAAUCGUUAGUAAUCGCGCAUCAGCAAUGGCACGGUGUAUACGUUCCCGG
rnacentral:rRNA from 1 species